rnacentral:rRNA from 1 species
AACGAACGCUGGCGGCAUGCCUAACACAUGCAAGUCGAACGAGACCUUCGGGUCUAGUGGCGCACGGGUGCGUAACGCGUGGGAAUCUGCCCUUGGGUUCGGAAUAACAGUUAGAAAUGACUGCUAAUACCGGAUAAUGUCUUCGGACCAAAGAUUUAUCGCCCAGGGAUGAGCCCGCGUAGGAUUAGCUAGUUGGUGAGGUAAAGGCUCACCAAGGCGACGAUCCUUAGCUGGUCUGAGAGGAUGAUCAGCCACACUGGGACUGAGACACGGCCCAGACUCCUACGGGAGGCAGCAGUGGGGAAUAUUGGACAAUGGGCGAAAGCCUGAUCCAGCAAUGCCGCGUGAGUGAUGAAGGCCUUAGGGUUGUAAAGCUCUUUUACCCGGGAUGAUAAAUGACAGUACCGGGAGAAUAAGCCCCGGCUAAACUCCGUGCCAGCAGCCGCGGU